rnacentral:rRNA from 1 species
UACGUAGGGUGCAAGCGUUGUCCGGAAUUAUUGGGCGUAAAGAGCUCGUAGGCGGUCUGUCGCGUCGGCUGUGAAAACCCGGGGCUCAACCCCGGGCCUGCAGUCGAUACGGGCAGACUAGAGUGCGGUAGGGGAGACUGGAAUUCCUGGUGUAGCGGUGAAAUGCGCAGAUAUCAGGAGGAACACCGGUGGCGAAGGCGGGUCUCUGGGCCGAUACUGACGCUGAUGCGCGAAAGCCAGGGGAGCAAACGGG